GUGCUCUCUUCAACAGCACAUAUACUAAAAUUGGGAUGAUACAGGUAAGAUUAGCACGGCCCCUGUGCAAGAAUGACAUGCAAAAUCGUGAAGUGUUCCAUAUUUUU